GCAAACUUGGUCAUUUAGAGGAAGUAAAAGUCGUAACAAGGUUUCCGUAGGUGAACCUGCGGAAGGAUCAUUACUGAAAGAAAAAAAUAUAUAUUAUUUUUUCUUUUGUAUUCACCCUUUGUUGAUUGAAUCCAUAUCAUUUUUUCUUCCACUGGACAGGUUGUUCGUUAAAUGGAGCUGCCCUCAGGCUUGAGAAUAUAUAUACAUAUAUUUUUUUGCCAGGGAGUGCCGGUGGUAAGACUACAAAAUCAAAAAAAUUUGCUGAGAACAAUAUCUGUCUGAAUACAAACUUUUAAUGAAAAUUAAAACUUUCAACAACGGAUCUCUAGGCUCUUGCAUCGAUGAAGAACGCAGC
rnacentral:misc_RNA from 1 species